rnacentral:lncRNA from 1 species
CGGACGUCAACAACUACCUCGUAGUCUUCGAAAACACUGCCUGGACUGGGAGGAUUAGCACUCAGGAGCGGACUCUGCGACGCCUGAAUCUGCACACACGGUGCAGGGAGUAAUGUGAGUACUCUGACUCAAUGAGUAAUAAUCAUAAAUAAUGGUUGAAAGCAAGAAAACGCGUAAAGGUACAAAGCAAUUCUAUAUCAAACAGUAAAAUCACUUAAGGCAGUAAAUCCAGGAAGAAAUCAAAUGAAGUUCCUUUAAGCCAAGUAAAACAGGUAGUUUAGCAGGUGAAUAACAAGUAGAAAUCAGCCCCUCGGGCACAGUAACAAUCACUCAGAACAGUAUCAGCUCCUCGGGCUCACUCUCGGUACAAUAUCAGCCCCUCGGGCUCACUCUCAGUAUAGUAUCAGCCCCUCGAGUCACUCUCAAAUCAUGAUGGAUACCCGCGCUCACUGUGGGGAUGCAGACUCCGGAGGGGCCCCUUACGGCCCAAGCGCAAUAUCAAGUCAUCUUGUGGCAAUAAAAAGUAUCUCAAGCCCUCGGCCUCAUAUCACUCAGCAUAUCCUCACAUAUGGACUUCGGCCUCACUCAGUCCGAAAAUCAUCACAAGCCCCUCGGGCAUUAGUAAAACCGUAUUUCUCAGCCCAAAACAUCAUUUAGAAAUAUCAUUUAAGUUCAAAUAUGAAUAAAAGUGGCUGAGUUUGUAAAACAGUAAAUAUCAACAGGACUGAGUUCAAGUAAUAAGUCAAACAAUGAGGAAUUUGUGAUAAAAAUCCCCGGAGGGUUCAAAUAGUUGGCACGAAGCCCAAAUAUAGCAAUCAGCCCAAAUCAUGAUGAUAACAAAUAAGUUUCAGUCAAAUACAUGGUAAAAUCAUCAAUCGGGACGGACCAAGUCAUAAUCCCCAGUAGUAAAAGACCCCACUCUCAUCACCAGCGCGUGUCUCACCUCAAUACAGCACUACGAUGUGCAAUCCGGAGUUUCAAACCCUAGGACAUCAUUUACAACUAUUACUCACCUCGAACCGGCUAAUUCUCUAGCUUGCGACGCCUUUGCCCCUCGAAUUGGCCUCCACGCGCGUCGAAUCUAUCCAAAAUCAGAACGAACACGUCACAACAUGCUAAGGGAACAAAGCCCAAGCGAAAACGAUCGAAUUAUCACAAAAUUCCAAAAAUUGGUCAAACCCGACCCCCGGACCCACAUCUCGGAAUUUGACAAAAUUCACAAACUAGAAUCCUUAUACUCUCACGAGUCUAUUCAUACAAAAAUUAUCCAAUUCCGAUACCAUUGGUCCUUCAAAUCAUCAUUUUUAUAUUUUUGAAAGAUUUCACAAUUUUCUUCCCAAAUCACGAAUUAAAUGAUGAAUUCAAUGAUAGAUUCAUGUACUCUAGCCAAAUCUGAGUUAGAAUCCCUUACCCCGAUGAAUUUCUUGAAAAACCUUCGAAAAAUCGCCAAAAUCCAAGAUCUCUAAGUCAAAAUAUAAAAUAAAACCCAAAACCUCAUAUUUAUAGAGUACCCCACAGAUUUCCACCUCCGCGGGCCGCACAAAAUCGACUACAGUCCGCACAAAACCAGUGCGGUCCGCACAAAAACAACCGCGGUCGCACAAGCUUUCCUCUUCAGUGACAGGCUUUAGUAUUUUGGCCAUAAUUUUUGCUACAGAUGUCCAAAUUGCGAUAUCUUUCCUUUUAUCGAAACUAGGCACGAAUGGCUACUUCGAAACUAGGCACAAAGGGCACAACUUCCGUUUUUGAAUCAUCUCAAAAUUCCUUGUAGAUCAAAAGAUAUGAGCUUCCGAAGUAAGAUGAGCGGAAUGUUCUUCACCGUGGCCGCACACCAUUUUGUGCGGUCCGCACAACACCUUCCGCGGCCGCACUUCUUUUUGUGCGGCCCGCACGGGUGAGUUCCGAGGCCAACAACCCUUCUGGACCUGCUACAGCUAUGAUUUUUGGCCUAAAACAUACCGGAACCUACCCGAAACUCCCGGAACUUCAAACCAAUUGUACCAACACAUCCCAUGACAUCGUUCAAACUUGUUCAAAAUUUCGGAACGCUCACAACAACAUCAAAUCACAAAUUUAACAUAGGAUUCAAGCCUAAGAACUCCAAGAACUCUUAAAUUAUGCUUUCGAUCAAAAAGUCUAUCAAAUCUCGUUCGAAUGAUCUGAAAUUUUGCAGACACAUCCCAAAUGACACAACGAAACUAUUGCAUCUCUCGGAAUUCCAUUCCACCCCUAUAUCAAAAUCUCACCUAUCAACCGAAAAGUGCCGAAAUCUCAAUUUCGCCAAUCCAAGCCUAAAUCUUCCACGGACUUCCAACAUGCAUUCCGACCACGCUCCUAAGUCCCAAAUCACCUAACNNNNNNNNNNNNNNNNNNNNNNNNNNNNNNNNNNNNNNNNNNNNNNNNNNNNNNNNNNNNNNNNNNNNNNNNNNNNNNNNNNNNNNNNNNNNNNNNNNNNNNNNNNNNNNNNNNNNNNNNNNNNNNNNNNNNNNNNNNNNNNNNNNNNNNNNNNNNNNNNNNNNNNNNNNNNNNNNNNNNNNNNNNNNNNNNNNNNNNNNNNNNNNNNNNNNNNNNNNNNNNNNNNNNNNNNNNNNNNNNNNNNNNNNNNNNNNNNNNNNNNNNNNNNNNNNNNNNNNNNNNNNNNNNNNNNNNNNNNNNNNNNNNNNNNNNNNNNNNNNNNNNNNNNNNNNNNNNNNNNNNNNNNNNNNNNNNNNNNNNNNNNNNNNNNNNNNNNNNNNNNNNNNNNNNNNNNNNNNNNNNNNNNNNNNNNNNNNNNNNNNNNNNNNNNNNNNNNNNNNNNNNNNNNNNNNNNNNNNNNNNNNNNNNNNNNNNNNNNNNNNNNNNNNNNNNNNNNNNNNNNNNNNNNNNNNAUUAACCUAAAAUCCAACACCAACGAUUUACAUAAGUCAUAUUGCAUCACACGAGGCAAGUCAAGCCCGAGAACUGGCGAGCGAAAUGCAAAAGCUCAAAACGACCGGUCGGGUCGUUACAUCGUGCCUCUUCAACUAUUCUUCGCAAACUAUCAUUCAUUUACCAGCCCACGUGUCAUGACACAUCACCUAAUAAUUAAUUCUAUACAUGAACUUAAUUUUUCCCGAUACAAUACCACAUUUGAGGAUGAAUGUUCCCAAGCAUGAGAGAAUAUAAGGCCCCAUAAGUUUCUAGGCGUAAAAUUUGAGAAUUACGAAUUUAAUAAUAUAAUUAAAAUACCUGGGGAGUAUAAGGACCCACACACUUCUUCAUAUUAUAGGGUAAAUUUCACAAAUGGUCAUAUAACUAUGAUAUUUUUUCACUAAAGUCAUAUAACUUUGUUUUCUCACACAAAAGUCAUAAAACUUUCACUACUUUACUCAAAAAGUCAUGCUUAACCGGCAAAGAUAAUUCUCCGGUAAUUUUUUCGUAUUUUACCAAGUUUUUUUAGUUUUAAAAUUUUAUCUAAUAAAUUAUGACUCAAUUAAAAUAAGAAAUUUUACCUCCUAUAGCAAAGGCAUACACUAUAUUCAGAGGCGGAUCCGGGAUUUGAUUCUUAUGAGUUCCUACCGUAAUUUCAAAUUUAUAUGCAAUAAUAAUUGGGUUCACAGUUAGAUAUUUAAUUAUAAACUAGUUUUAGUGUACGUGCAUUGCACAUGUAUUUUGUGUCUAUUAAUAAAAAUUAUAUAAAAUUUAGAAUAAGAAUAAAUUAUUUGUAAUAGCAAUUAACAUCGAGAUAAAUGCAGCAUAUAGUUGCACAUGUAUCUUAUAGAUGAUGUUUUUGGUGUAAAAAAUAUUACUCAAAAUAUAAAUAUUAUAUAUACCUUAUAGUAUGUAUAAAGGGUAAAAAAAAAAAGGUAAACGCUAUUUAGCGUGCUUUACGCGCGUACCUCGUCCGAAUAAGUAAAUUUUCUUUAUAAAUCUUAUAUUUAUUACAUUAAAUGAGACUCAUAAAUAGAAGUACGUAAAAGUAAAAAGUCUAAAUUUCUAAAAUUUAUCAUUGUUAAUUUUAUUUAUUUAACUCAAUGAAGGAAGAAACUUCCAUAUAAAAAUCUUUAAUUUAUUUCCGUCAACAUAUUAAACUUAAAUUUGUAAGGAUAUAAAUAAAUAAUCUUUUAGAAACUUGUUAUAUGAGAAAUACUAAAUGAAUUUAAGGUACAUCUUAUAUUACUUCGGAGAAAAACAUAAGCUGAAAAUUAUAAAAGUAGCAUUGUAGGUUCUAGGUGGUGUAAGGAGAAAAAAAAACUCUCUUUGGUAAUUCGAGAGUGAAUAACAAGGAUCAUUUUAUUGUAAUUUACACAAUUCCAAUAAGAAAAGGACUUACGUAAUUAAGAUUUUUCUCAAUUAAAUUGUAUUUGGAAUUUUUACUUAGUUUAAAAAAUAAAAGAUUUAUAGACAAAAUGUUAAGUGACUUCAAAAGCCUAAUGCUAUGAAACUGAUUAAAUUUAUAAUUUUUUCUAAUAUAAAAUUUAUAUUUAAAAGAUAAAAAGAAGAUCAAUAUUUCACAUAAGGGCUCGAAUGUGAUAUGUACAAAGUAUACCUGCCAUUUACUUUAAUUAUAGUUUUAAUGAAUGUCUACUUUCAUGGUGACUCUUAUUUUAUUUCUAAGUAUUUUGUGGAUUCAAUAGAUGUCUAUGUGAUUUUUUAAUUUAAAUAACUCCUAAAAAGGUUUGUUGGAUUGUAACAAAAAAGAAACAAAACAAACAAACACCUGAGAAUCCUUAUUGCAAAUAAAUAUCUAUUAUUUUUAAACCUAAUAAUAAAUAUUAUUUGUUCGAAAAAUAUGAUAGAAACACUUUUAUUGAAUCAAAUUUUCGAGCUAAAAAUAUAAGUUAUCAGUGAAGUUCUUACUGAAGUAUUUACGAAUUAAAUUUUAUGAAUAACGAAAUAUACUUCUAAACCUAGUAGUAAAUAUAUUUCUAAAUUUUAUGAUUUUUAUUUAUUAGAUUGAAUUUAAAAAAUAAAAAAAAAGGUAGAAUACCAAAAAAAUACCGGAGAAUUGUCUUUGCCGGUUAACUAUGACUUUUUGAGUAAAGUAGUGAAAGUUUUAUGACUUUUAUGUGAGAAAACAAAGUUAUAUGACUUUAGUAAAAAAAUGUCAUAAUUAUAUGACCAUUUAUGAAAUUUACCCCUGAAAAAUAUACCCGCAAGUGCAACAUAUGGAUCUACUGGAAAUAAUUAUUUGAACAUAGAAAAGAGAACAAAGAAUGAGGAGGAAAAAAAACAAGACAAAGUAAAAGAGAAACUAUGUAAAUAAUGAGAUAAUGGACCAAGCCCACGUCUGUAAGCGAGGGAAUUAACGGAAAGGGGUUUGGAACCUUUGACACAAAAGAACGCAGCAAUAACAUCGAAAAGGAGAAUUAGGAAUUCCCAAACAUUGUUCCAAGCUUCAUUAGUGCAGAAGAAGAAAUUCAAGGUAAUAGAGAAUUAUGUACAUCUUUAUUGUUGUGGGACUUCACCUUCUUUAGCCGAGGGUCAUUCGGAAACAGUCUCCCUAACCUGGAGGUAAGGCUACGUACAUCCUACCCUUCCAAGACACCACUCGGUAAGAUUAUACUGGAUAGUUAUUGUUGUUGUUUAUUGUUGGGGGAAUCAUCAUAUAUAAUUUAAAGAAUGAAUUUUUGGAACAAAGCAUGCUUUACCCAAUUCAUUGACAUUCUGACAAAUUCAAGUCAUCUUCUGCGGUUGGAUACGGAUGGGGGAAUGAGCAUCCUUUGGGUUUAAAAGAAGUAUUCUUUAUUAAAAAAUUAUAUCUUUUCAAAUAAGUAAUUACAUUUGGAUUAAUUUAGCAUGUCCCCACUUAAAUUAAAGAUAUAUCAUCAAUAAUUCGAAAAUAUCAAAAUAGUUGAUGUCGAAUAAUUAGUAACAUUAUUUAUGCUAGUUUAUCAGUUUCUUCUCUGUUCUGAGUACUUGAAACUUUGGAUAUAAGCCUAGUGGUGAAAGAUGAUGAUAAAUUAAUGGGUGCCGAUUAUUAUAACUGGGGGUGUACGUGAAGAUUAUUUAAAUCUAUUAAGUGAUAUAACUUGGAACAAGUGAACCUAAUUUGUGCAUAUUGAGAUAGAAUUCACAAGUUGGACAUGUUAAGCCUAAAUAUUCAUGAACUAAGUGAAUUAAGUUAUACUUUUAGUUCUUGUAUCGAUGUAAAUUGAACUCCUUUAUCAUGUAGAUAGACUUGUGAAUGGGAUUUCUUGAGAGAAGCAUGAAUUGUAGCGAGCACAUACGUUGAGGUGAGUUGAGGCUUAUUUUCCUAAUAGGGAAUUCCACAUAAACCCUCGUGCUUCAUGUGUUCGAUAAAUUUAAGCCACGUUUUCUUAUACUCAAACACUCACUCUAUCCUUGUUCAGUACUACUUAUAUGUGACAGAAUUACAUGCCUACGUGUAUUACUACGUGUAUUACUACUUCUUAUGUGCCUUUAUUUGUGAUAUUUACAUUUAGUUUAAUAUGCAAUUUCAACAUUCAUUCAUGCAUUAAUGUGAUCACAUUCAAAAGGGAGAGCUAGCCGACCUCCCCUUGUGUGAGUGUCAUCAGUGCCAAGGUUAGCUAUCUCAUGCUCCUAGGGGCUAUUGUUUGUUGAGGAGAUAGGCCGAUACUCCCCGUACGUGUUGCAAGAUCCUACGCACGCAGGGCCACUAUGUUUAACUUAAGUUCUUUUUUUUUUUUUUUGUUAUUUGUUAUUUAUUUAGAUGUUCAUCUUACAAUUUAAGUUUUAAGUCUUAUCAGAUUUCAUACAUUAAAUUUCUUACAUGUUUUACGUGGAUAUCUUUUCUUUUUGUUAUGUUUAUCCCAGAAGGUCCCCUCCUCCUUCUUAGGAGGUAGCCUAUGAGACUUGAUGGGUACCCUGUCAUAAUACUUAGCCCGUGAGGGCCUGUUUUCGCUUUUUAUGGAUGCAGAUAAUACUGAUCACGUUCCGGCACUACAGGAUAGGAUUAGAUUUCAGCUCAGUCUUUUCCUGCUUUUCUUCUCGGUGCGGACUCAAAUUUUAGUAUUUAUUUAUAUUAUUUUAGCAUUUGGGGUAUGUCCGAAGGACAUAAAUAUUCAGUAUUCUCGAAGUCUCAUGACUUAAUUUAGUGGGUAUUGUAUAAUUUUUAUUCUCAGUUGGGUAUUUUAUUGAGAUCUAUGACUUAACUCUCAGUUUGAAUUUUAUUUUUUAUUUUUUUUUAAUAAAUAUGUCAUGACAUCAUUUUGGGUUACUUCAGUUUUCAUGAUUAGUACAACUUAAUUAAGGGGUUACUCGACAGGUUGCUUGGAUCGGGUGCCAAUCAUGCCCCCACCUUAGCUUUUGGGGCUUGACACAUAAAUAUUUUUCUAAGAGUUUAAUGGUCUUUAUAGUUACCAUUAAUCCAAUACUCAAUCUUUGAUAAAAUAGUUAUUCUCAAGCAUUCCAAGUUCCAUGUAGGUUGGGUUUAAUUAAAUUACAUCCUUAAGCUUAAAAUUAACCCGAAUUAAUUAUGAAAAUUCACGGGGUUGUACGAGGAUGAUUAAAAUCACCUAAAAGAAAUCGGUUCUACCACAACGAUUGGUUAAUAAUUUGUAAAUUUGUAAAUUUUGUAAAUAAUUAGAUUAGAUAUUGCUCAGUUUCAUACUUUUAUUAAUAUACUCUUGUGUCAUGCGCUAAAAUGUCUCACUAAUGUCUAAUGAUAUUACCCUUACUUUCUUGGAAAAAAAAUAAUCUUACACAAGAGAACUUUCAGGGAAGAACCUGGUUCAUCGAACUUAUAAGAUAUGUAUUUUACACUUCGCAUAAUUUGAAAUAACUGCAUAUGGAACAUAAUCUGAAAAGAGUCGCACUUUAUCCCAAUCUCCUUUUUAAACCAAUCAGUUAUAAGCAAACCAAUUUAACCAAGAGACUCACGCUCUAUAAUUGCCGAGAUUUUUGGGAAAGAGUCCGGCAUCUCUUCAAACUUACACUCCCAAGAUGAAAAGACUUCUAACCUCCAAAGUUGUCGUUAUACACUCCAUCUCUUCCCUCUUUAAAUUGAUUUGCCUUUACCCUUUUCUUCACACCAAAUCCACCAAAACACCAAAAACCCCAACUCUCUCAAAUUCUCUCAAUCAUCCAAACUGAUCAAAUGGCAAACAUAUAUGAAAACCCAAGAAUUCUGAGAAUCUUUCUUCACCACCUAAAGAACCUUCACCCACACCUUUAAUCACCCAAACCCCCAAGAAAAAACAUGUCAAGAUGUUUGCAUGCAAUACAGUGGCAAGUAGAGAACAUGCCAAGAAGCUAAAUGAGAAAUUGAAGGCUAGCCAAGCAUAAGAAAUUCAAAAAUCUUAUGAGUCCUUUAAGUAUGCGAUUGAGGGGGAAGAAUCAGUUUUAUCUGAAACUGAACAGGUAACUUCUGGUUGAAAACUUCUGAAGAUGCUUCUGAAAUUGCUGAAAAUCUUGAAAAUAGGUUUGUGUUGGUUGGUUCGAUUAUUGAUGUAGAAACUGUUGGGUAUGAAAAAAUUAGUGGUAAAAAUAAAAUUUAAAAAAAAAAGAGUGAGGGUGUUGAAGUAGAUACGAGGGGAAAGGGACAAAAGAAGUGGUUGGAUCUUCUUCACCCACUCUUGUUGGUUUGAAUGAAGAAAUAGGGGAAAUGGUGUUAUGGAGUGAGGAGAGUGUUGAUGAGGAAGAGAGGAUUGGAAGAGAAGGAAGUAGUAGUUCUGAGGAAACUGUUGCAGCAGAAGGGCUGGUUAGGUUAGGGAAAAGAUUCCAAGAACAUGUUCCAUCUAGAAAGGAACUCCUCCAUGAUCUGUUGCAGAUUGUGUCAGACAGUUACAAUCCCAAGAAGAAGAAGAGUGUUAGAGUAAAAGUGUAAAACUCUCUGGAAAGGCUAUGGGUGGCAAGAAGAAAAAGGUUGCCUCUUAUAUCCCUGUAGAGACUCAUCUCACAAGAGAAAGAAUUACAAGGAGCCAGAAGAAGCAGAGCGAGGGCAAUUGAGAUUGAAAAGAUGGACCUGGUCCUUCAUGAUGGAGAUGAAACAGAGGAACUGGUUGUCACUCCCAGUGCUAAGAAAAGAAAGACAUCUAAGAAAAGCCUCCAGAAAAGUCUGUUGAGGCAAAAAACUAUGUGUUGUCCAAAUGAACUAGGUUGGCAAGAAAAUCAAUGAAAGUUCAAGUAGUGGAGGAAGAAAGUGAAGAAGAGGAGACUGAUGAAGAAAAGGAUAAGUUGGUGAAGUUCUAGAAAAGAACCAUUUUGAAGGGAAGGCUCCUUAAUGGAGGAAGAAUGGAUGGUAUCUAAUAAGUUUUACCUACUAUUGGAUUUGAUCCAAUGACUCCCACCGUAUGAAAGUAGUACUUUAACCACUGAGCUAAGUAGGUCAUUUAUCAUCCCAAAGAGAAUCAAAUGAAACCCAUCAUGUCGAUGGAUUAUAAAUAUCAUAUUACUUAAUAAGCAAUAGUAAUCUAAGAAAUACCACUCAAAGAGGUCAAAGAUUGUUGAUGUUGGAUUACUGCUGCAGGAAAAAUUAGAGUUACAAGAUUGGAAGGACAUGGUCCUUCAGUUGAAAAUAAGGUUGGCCAGGGCUGAUAUUGUAGAAUAUUUGCCACCUGUAAGAUUGAUAAUGGAAAAGUCAAUAGUGAGGAGACAAGAGUGACAAUGAGCUUUGAUGACAAAGACUACUUUGGGGCCGAUACUUUGACUGAUUAUGACUACCAAGUCCAAACUACGCGCAAAGAACCUGGUUCAUCCAAGAGAGUACCUAAGAACAUCAAGGUUAGAGCAUUGGAGAUAUAGAGAGGGGCUAAGGAUGCUGAAAUAAAAAGGCUAAAGACACAGUUGGCUAAAGUGGAAGCUGAGAGAGACUCUCUCAAGUCUGAGCUGGCAAAGGAGAAAGAGAAGCAUGAGGGCAUUCUUCAAUAUAUGCUGAAACUGCUUCAAGCUAAGAACCAAGAACCUGGUCCUUCCCAGUCCUAAACUCUUCCUAGACCAGUUUGUAACCAGUAACCCAAAUGGAAUUUCUCUAUUUUUUUCUCAUGGUUCUAUGUCUUUAUUUCUUCUUAUACUUUAUGGUAUAGGAUCUUAUCAAUCAAUGAAAUUCGCUACUUUUGCUCUAAUUGUUUGUUGAUAUUUCUUAGAUGGCUAAUAUCCCUAGAUUGAAAAAGAAAAAAAUAAAUCCAUAAUCGCAUUUAAAGUAGCCCAGUUGCCAUGAGUGAUAUCUGUUAAAAUUUAGUUACUUGGUAAAUUAUACAACUUUUCGAUGAUGCCAAAAAGGGAAAGACAAGGUGUGCUUUUGCUUUGAACUGUGAUAUUUAUAACCCAAUGAACUUGGUCCUUGAUGAUUUGUGACUUUUAAAAUGGAAAGUCUUGUGACAUUGUGUUUGAUGUUGAGCUAAGUUGAAGCAGGUUCCAUGCUUCUAGAAAGCACAAAGUUUGUCAUCAUCAAAAUGAGGGAAUUUAUUGACUUAAGCGACUUUGAUUUUGAUGAUUGACAAAGGAACACAUGCAUGAAUCAGGUUCAUGGAUACUAUACACAGGUUAUAGUCAGAUUUAAGCAAAAGGCAUGCACGUACAAGGGAUAGGCAUAAGUGGUUAUUUCUGAUAAUCCCUCAACGAAAAGAUUGCAUAUUUGAUAAUGAGAAUGAAUCCUUACUUAAAGUGAACUCUAUCCAAGAUAAGGAAAGAGUUAUAAGUUGAAGAUAACCACAACUCUUCCACUAAGGAAGAUUAAAGUAUCAGGUUUCUAGUUAAUAUAAUCCUACUAACUCUAUAAAUAUUAUUCUUGUUCUCUUUUAUAGGUCACGGGCACAUACUGAAGUUAAGCAAGAAUUGAGAGCAAAAUUCCAAGGCAUCUUGUGAGCAAUUCCUGUGAGUUUCAAGAGUGCGAACCUGAAGCUACAUGAACUAGAUUGAAGAACAAGUUACAUAUGUCUGUCUUUUAUUCUAGUUCAAUUGUAGUAGGAGCUUUUGAGUUGUACCUUUUAACUUUUCUUAGAAGCAUUUGUACUAGGUACUUGAGUUGUAUUGUUCAAGUUAGAGUUAAAUUGAACCAAUCACAACAGCCUGUGGCUGGUUGCUACAAAGGUUAGAGUUAAUCCUUAGAUUUGUAAGAGUUUGUAAACUUUGUUGUUUGGUUCAGAAUUGUAGUGAAGUGUUGGGGAAGAUCCUACUGGAAAGUAGGUCGUGAUUUUUUUACCUUUUGAACCAGGUAUUUUCCAUAUAAAAAUACGUAUGUUCUUUACUUUUUAUAUUACUUAUUCCGCAACAGUAGAUUAAGGAACGCAUAGAAGAAUUAGGUCCUUCUAUAAUCCAGUGCACGUGAAAAUUGGACACCACACAAAUCACUCAUCUCCCCUCUCUUGUGUGGUAUUGAAGUAUAAAACAUCAAUCAUUUUGAACUAUCUCCAUCCCAUGGAAUUAAAAGUCCUACAAGCCAGAAUUACAACUAAUUUGAUUCUAAUUUUUGAUUAAGUUGUCUUAAAUUUACAUAUCAAGCUUGCAAGAGGACAUUUAUUUCCAUGUUGUUUGAGUCCCACUUUUUUAUGGGGGGUAGGGGUAUAAACAGCCAAUCUUAGAGAUGUUAUUUAGAGAUUAGCCAGUACUUAUUUUGUCCUGAAAUUUUAAACUAAGAAUCUCAACUUCGGGACAAUUUAGGACAUUUUAUCCCAAAAAAUUUGAACUAGAAAAUUGAAUUCAGGACGCACUGAGCAACCCUUUAAAGUGGCUACACGGUGUCAUUUCUAUCUUUUUUAUUAGGUCUUUAAAUAAUAAACAUGAUUUUUACCAAUCUAUUAACAAAAUAAGCAAAUCUACGCCAAGAGAAAUUAGUACAAAAUGUAGUAGAUGCAAUUCUUGAUAAGGUAAUACAUGGACAAUCAAUGAGGGACAGUCAUACAAUUUCUACAAAUCAUAUUCUAAUAUAGUUGAAGGCAAAUGGGUGAAUAUUUAGUUAAACUUUACUUGACAUGUGAGUUGAUAUUAAGGGCUAUUUGCAGCAUUUUUGUGUUUAUUAGGUCUUUAUGUUUUAAUCUUUUGUUUGAUGAUUACAAAAGGGGUAUUGGCGAUAUCUUUAUUGACUUUCAUAUUAUCUUGAUGUGGAUUGCUUCAUGAAAUAGCAAUAUAAUUUUUUCUAUAAAUUUGUAAUCUGAUUUAGAUAGAAAUUUGGUAAGAGAGCGAAAAGAUUUCAGGCAACGACAAUUCUCAAUUCCACUUUCAAGAUUACUUGACCCCUAAUUGUAAUUUAGUAAUAAUAUUAAAAAAUCAAUAUUUAGAAUUAUUUGUCCACUCAAAAUGUUGCAAGCAAAUGAAUUUUGAAAAGAGAAAUAAGAAGAUACAAAGGUUCUCUCCUUUAUAAAUUUUCUUUUCCAUAUCCUAUUUUUCUAGACGAAUAUGAUUAUAUUCAGAGGAACAUCGAAUCAACGUGACACCUCUCUAAGUGGUAAGAAAAAAAGAACAAUAGGUAAUAAUGAAAUCAUGUCUGAACAAACAGAAUAAAUAAGAAAAAGUGUCAUGUCAUAAGUGAAAAAUACCCCAAGUCUCAUGUAAGACAACUAAAUGCACUUGAUGCUUGUCGAAGUCUAGUCUUUAAACUAGGAGGUUGUGAAAACAAUUUCCACUUUGACUCCUCGAAUUAGAAUUUACACUCACAAGAGAACCCUAUAUCUUACCCUCCCAAUAUUUUUCUAAUUGAAUUUCAAAAAUCUCACUCACCAUCAAAGCACAUUUUGUAAAGUGUUCUCUAGUCAUAAAUAAUGGUCGAUCAUCGAAGAAAGAAACAGGAGAAUAAAUUUAUCUUUUUGGAGAAUGUUUUGAACAGGGAAGAAAAGGAUUUAUAGUCCUUUGCCUUACCCACAAGAAUAGAUGGCCCUGUAACUCCUCUGCCCGUAAAACACUCUAACCACACAAGAUUUUCCGACAUUAUUGUCACACCUCUUUUUUACCUACACCUCCCGGAAGGGAGUAUAAGGGAGUUUUUUUCAACUUAAAGUGAAAAUCGAAACGAGAUUAUUUUAUUUAAAAUUCAGAGUCGCCACUUGGGAUAAUUUUUUGGUGUCUCAAGUCACCGAUGUAAUUGAUGACACACCCCAAUUUUAAGAGUUAAAACAAUUAUACGAGUGCCAUGAGUUAUUUACUGAAAUGACACACCUCAAGUUUCCUAUAAAGGCUAACUAGUUUUGUGAGGGUCAUGAGCUUAGGGGUUUUAUUUGGCAUGACACGCCUCAAUUCAUUUUAAAAGAUCUUAUUAUUCGAAGUUGUAAUAAUCGGGUCACAUGAGAUGCACCCUCAAAUUUGGAAAAUUAAGCAUCAUAACUAUGUCACGGAAAUCGUACCCAUAAUUAGAUGGUUUAUUAAUCGUGCCAAAAAUAAGCUACGAUAUUCAUGAGUUAUUCCCUAAACUUUGAGAUUAUUGCAAGGCCAACAAAUACAAACGAAAAAUUUUCUAUACCAAACAUCCUACAUCCCAACAAAUGAAGCCAAGAAUUAUCAUAGGAUAUGAAUCUUCCAAAUUUAAAUCGAGAUCCAAACGCUAUAUUUCCAGGUCACUCACAUCCCAACUCUAAACCCGUCCACAUGCAUCCCACCAUGGUUCUUCAUCAUUUUUUAUUAUCUAAUAAUUUUAAAAUUGACGCAUAAAAUUAGUAUUCUUUACUACUGUAUCUACUCACAGAUGUAGACAAAACUAAGGAUAAAGUAGAAUUAAUAAAAAAAAAUAUGACAAAGUAUAUAGCAUUUAAGAGCGGAUCUACGGUGAAGUUCAGCAGACAAUUUGUAAUGGACAGAAACAAAAUGAUAUCCAAAGCCAACAUAGCGAGAAGGCAAAAAAUGGGACCUUCGUAUUAAAUGAAUUCGGAGUUGAAAAACUUACAUCUGUCCGAGCCAAACAAACCCGCCUAUCGGAACGAAGCUCGAACAAGAAACUAGCAACACCGGAACCUCGAACGGACCUCAACGGCGGCCGAAACUGCGAACCAACUUCAAACGACCUCCUUACCUUUUCCCAACAGCUUCGCAGGCGGCCACCAAACGAGACACUCUCAGCCGCUAUUUUCAUCUAAUGGAGAAUUAAAGCAGUUCAAAGAGAGUAAAGAAUAAUGAGAGGAGAAGGAGAUGGAUUUGGGAUUGUAGUUGAAUUGUUUUUCAAAUCCCUAAAAAAAGAAAAAAAGAAUUGGCGUUGAUUCAGCCUUUUCCUCUAGGUUCGAUCUUUCUGAUUUUGUCGGUGUUUCGGCGUUGGUUUUGUGGUCUCCUUUUCGUUGAAAAUCUGCCCCAGCUUUUGGUCCCUUCUCUUUUAUAUUCUUUGGCUUUUCUUCGGUCUUUUUCUGUAUUUUUAGCUCCUAACAGCCUUAGGUCUUCAAGGUUUUUGGUUAACUUUUUUCAGAAGAUGAGAUCGUGAGCUGUCUAUUUUGAGCAAAACGGCGGAUUUUUUUCUUCUUUUCUUU